UGAGGAGCAGAGCAGGAGCUCUGGGAAGGAGAAAAGCAAUAUGAGGAUGGAGUGUAAGAUGAGGCCAGAUAACUUCUGUGGAGGGAGACAUGCUGGACAGGGCCUAGGAUUGGGGAGACAAGCAGGUGUGAGCCCCGGGCUCAGAUUUCUAAUUAUAGCUGUGAUGACAGAAUGGGAGGAGGGUUGAAGCCGAAACCCUGGGGUGCGGGAGUAGCGAGAAGAGGAGCCUCACCACAAUUGCUUUCUCUUUUCCUCUUGUGUUGUGUUUCAUAUCAAGGGAAAAGAAGUCAUGGGGACGAAGUCCAGCCCUGAGGUGAGAUGGAAAGUGAUCGAGAGCAGUGACAGCGUGAAUCCUGUUGAUGCCAGGCAAGAGCUGCCCAACUGGGACAAGAGUAACCGUCUCUGUCGAAACCUCCCUCGUGUU